UUCCCUGCCUCGAGAAUUAAGAGCAGCCAUGCCCAUGGCAGUCUCAAGCAAAACCUCUCCUUGUCAGCUUAUUUUUCUGAGGUUUGCCAGCUCCUCACCAUUUACAUGUGCACAAUCUCUUGCCAGGAAGGGCUCUCACUACAGGAGCAACAUCUCCUGCCUGAGACAGGACACAGGGCUUCCAGUAUGUAAUUUUAUUAUCAGGAUUAAUCAAGGAGAAUGAUUCAUGCUUAGUGGAAAGCAAGAAAAACAAAAUCACCUUUCCAACAGACCAUUCUGGGAAGAUUGGAUUUACUUUCACCUAGACCAUGAAAGUUAGCUCAGGACUGAGGACAACAGCCAGACAACAGUUUAAAACUCCAGUGCCCUAAAGGAAAAAAUAAAAGCAUAAUUUUCAAGUCCAAUUAGGGCUUUGGCUCUGAGCAUUUGGCAGAAGGAGAAGACCAGUAACACUUCCCAUAUGGGCAAAUCACUUCCCAGCUGAGCAUUCUGGUUCUGGAAAGGUGAAUAGAAUUGGAGUCUCUCUUACGAAGCUUCUUCGCUAUUUGUGAAUAAGAACUACAAAAAAAGCCUCAAACCAACCCAACAAAUGUACAGGGACACC